GAUGAAGAACGCAGUGAAAUGCGAUAAGUAGUGUGAAUUGCAGAAUUCAGUGAAUCAUCGAAUCUUUGAACGCACAUUGCGCCCCUUGGUAUUCCAUGGGGCAUGCCUGUUCGAGCGUCAUUUGUACCUUCAAGCUCUGCUUGGUGUUGGGUGUUUGUCUCGCCUCUGCGUGUAGACUCGCCUCAAAACAAUUGGCAGCCGGCGUAUUGAUUUCGGAGCGCAGUACAUCUCGCGCUUUGCACUCAUAACGACGACGUCCAAAAGUACAUUUUUACACUCUUGACCUCGGAUCAGGUAGGGAUACCCGCUGAACUUAAGCAUAUCAAUAAGCCGAGGA
rnacentral:misc_RNA from 1 species